UACGGGUAUGUGUAUGAGAUACAAAUCUGAACCCUUUGAAAAAUUUAAAGAAUUCAGAUGUGAAGUAGAGAAGCAAACCAAAAAAAUUCUAAAGAUACUUUGAUCAGAUCGAGGAUGCAAUACUAAAGUAAGAAAUUUCUCGAUUAUCUCAUGAAAAUGGCAUAGUUUCAUAGUGGACCCCUCCUAGUACAUCUCAGCUCAACGGGAUAUCUGAAAG
rnacentral:lncRNA from 1 species